rnacentral:rRNA from 1 species
ACGCUCGACACCUACGGGAGGCAGCAGUGGGGAAUAUUGCACAAUGGAGGGAAACUCUGAUGCAGCGAUGCCGCGUGAGGGAAGAAGGUUUUCGGAUUGUAAACCUCUGUCUUUGGGGACGAUAAUGACGGUACCCAAGGAGGAAGCUCCGGCUAACUACGUGCCUGCAGCCGCGGUAAUCUGAGCGGGCUGGCAAGGC